rnacentral:rRNA from 1 species
GGGUUGUGAGGUUAAGCGACUAAGCGUACACGGUGGAUGCCCUGGCAGUCAGAGGCGAUGAAGGACGUGCUAAUCUGCGAAAAGCGUCGGUAAGGUGAUAUGAACCGUUAUAACCGGCGAUGUCCGAAUGGGGAAACCCAGUGUGUUUCGACACACUAUCAUUAACUGAAUCCAUAGGUUAAUGAGGCGAACCGGGGGAACUGAAACAUCUAAGUACCCCGAGGAAAAGAAAUCAACCGAGAUUCCCCCAGUAGCGGCGAGCGAACGGGGAGGAGCCCAGAGCCUGAAUCAGUGUGUGUGUUAGUGGAAGCGUCUGGAAAGGCGUGCGAUACAGGGUGACAGCCCCGUACACAAAAAUGCACAUGCUGUGAGCUCGAUGAGUAGGGCGGGACACGUGGUAUCCUGUCUGAAUAUGGGGGGACCAUCCUCCAAGGCUAAAUACUCCUGACUGACCGAUAGUGAACCAGUACCGUGAGGGAAAGGCGAAAAGAACCCCGGCGAGGGGAGUGAAAAAGAACCUGAAACCGUGUACGUACAAGCAGUGGGAGCCCUGAUUUAUCAGGGUGACUGCGUACCUUUUGUAUAAUGGGUCAGCGACUUAUAUUCUGUAGCAAGGUUAACCGAAUAGGGGAGCCGGAGGGAAACCGAGUCUUAACUGGGCGUUAAGUUGCAGGGUAUAGACCCGAAACCCGGUGAUCUAGCCAUGGGCAGGUUGAAGGUUGGGUAACACUAACUGGAGGACCGAACCGACUAAUGUUGAAAAAUUAGCGGAUGACUUGUGGCUGGGGGUGAAAGGCCAAUCAAACCGGGAGAUAGCUGGUUCUCCCCGAAAGCUAUUUAGGUAGCGCCUCGUGAAUUCAUCUCCGGGGGUAGAGCACUGUUUCGGCAAGGGGGUCAUCCCGACUUACCAACCCGAUGCAAACUGCGAAUACCGGAGAAUGUUAUCACGGGAGACACACGGCGGGUGCUAACGUCCGUCGUGAAGAGGGAAACAACCCAGACCGCCAGCUAAGGUCCCAAAGUCAUGGUUAAGUGGGAAACGAUGUGGGAAGGCCCAGACAGCCAGGAUGUUGGCUUAGAAGCAGCCAUCAUUUAAAGAAAGCGUAAUAGCUCACUGGUCGAGUCGGCCUGCGCGGAAGAUGUAACGGGGCUAAACCAUGCACCGAAGCUGCGGCAGCGACACUGUGUGUUGUUGGGUAGGGGAGCGUUCUGUAAGCCUGUGAAGGUGUGCUGUGAGGCAUGCUGGAGGUAUCAGAAGUGCGAAUGCUGACAUAAGUAACGAUAAAGCGGGUGAAAAGCCCGCUCGCCGGAAGACCAAGGGUUCCUGUCCAACGUUAAUCGGGGCAGGGUGAGUCGACCCCUAAGGCGAGGCCGAAAGGCGUAGUCGAUGGGAAACAGGUUAAUAUUCCUGUACUUGGUGUUACUGCGAAGGGGGGACGGAGAAGGCUAUGUUGGCCGGGCGACGGUUGUCCCGGUUUAAGCGUGUAGGCUGGUUUUCCAGGCAAAUCCGGAGAAUCAAGGCUGAGGCGUGAUGACGAGGCACUACGGUGCUGAAGCAACAAAUGCCCUGCUUCCAGGAAAAGCCUCUAAGCAUCAGGUAACAUCAAAUCGUACCCCAAACCGACACAGGUGGUCAGGUAGAGAAUACCAAGGCGCUUGAGAGAACUCGGGUGAAGGAACUAGGCAAAAUGGUGCCGUAACUUCGGGAGAAGGCACGCUGAUGGUAGGUGAAGCGACUUGCUCGUGGAGCUGAAAUCAGUCGAAGAUACCAGCUGGCUGCAACUGUUUAUUAAAAACACAGCACUGUGCAAACACGAAAGUGGACGUAUACGGUGUGACGCCUGCCCGGUGCCGGAAGGUUAAUUGAUGGGGUCAGCGCAAGCGAAGCUCUUGAUCGAAGCCCCGGUAAACGGCGGCCGUAACUAUAACGGUCCUAAGGUAGCGAAAUUCCUUGUCGGGUAAGUUCCGACCUGCACGAAUGGCGUAAUGAUGGCCAGGCUGUCUCCACCCGAGACUCAGUGAAAUUGAACUCGCUGUGAAGAUGCAGUGUACCCGCGGCAAGACGGAAAGACCCCGUGAACCUUUACUAUAGCUUGACACUGAACACUGGUCCUUGAUGUGUAGGAUAGGUGGGAGGCUUUGAAGUGUGGACGCCAGUCUGCAUGGAGCCGUCCUUGAAAUACCACCCUUUAAUGGCUGGUGUUCUAACGUGGGCCCGUAAUCCGGGUUGCGGACAGUGUCUGGUGGGUAGUUUGACUGGGGCGGUCUCCUCCUAAAGAGUAACGGAGGAGCACGAAGGUUGGCUAAUCCUGGUCGGACAUCAGGAGGUUAGUGCAAUGGCAUAAGCCAGCUUGACUGCGAGCGUGACGGCGCGAGCAGGUGCGAAAGCAGGUCAUAGUGAUCCGGUGGUUCUGAAUGGAAGGGCCAUCGCUCAACGGAUAAAAGGUACUCCGGGGAUAACAGGCUGAUACCGCCCAAGAGUUCAUAUCGACGGCGGUGUUUGGCACCUCGAUGUCGGCUCAUCACAUCCUGGGGCUGAAGUAGGUCCCAAGGGUAUGGCUGUUCGCCAUUUAAAGUGGUACGCGAGCUGGGUUUAGAACGUCGUGAGACAGUUCGGUCCCUAUCUGCCGUGGGCGCUGGAGAACUGAGGGGGGCUGCUCCUAGUACGAGAGGACCGGAGUGGACGCAUCACUGGUGUUCGGGUUGUCAUGCCAAUGGCACUGCCCGGUAGCUAAAUGCGGAAGAGAUAAGUGCUGAAAGCAUCUAAGCACGAAACUUGCCCCGAGAUGAGUUCUCCCUGAGACUUAGAGUCUCCUGAAGGAACGUUGAAGACGACGACGUUGAUAGGCCGGGUGUGUAAGCGCAGCGAUGCGUUGAGCUAACCGGUACUAAUGAACCGUGAGGCUUAACCUUACAACGCCGAAGGUGUUU